GCUCUUGUAGUUCAAUUGGUUAGAGCACCCGUUUAGUAAGCAGGUAGUCUUGAAUUUGACUCUUAACAAGAGCA
rnacentral:tRNA from 1 species